rnacentral:rRNA from 1 species
UACGAGGGGGGCAAGCGUUGUUCGGAAUUACUGGGCGUAAAGGGCUCGUAGGCGGCCAACUAAGUCAGACGUGAAAUCCCUCGGCUUAACCGGGGAACUGCGUCUGAUACUGGAUGGCUUGAGUUUGGGAGAGGGAUGCGGAAUUCCAGGUGUAGCGGUGAAAUGCGUAGAUAUCUGGAGGAACACCGGUGGCGAAGGCGGCAUCCUGGACCAACACUGACACUGAGGAGCGAAAGCCAGGGGAGCAAACGGG